rnacentral:rRNA from 1 species
AGUGAACGCUGGCGGUAGGCCUAACACAUGCAAGUCGAACGGCAGCACAGUAAGAGCUUGCUCUUACGGGUGGCGAGUGGCGGACGGGUGAGGAAUACAUCGGAAUCUACUUUUUCGUGGGGGAUAACGUAGGGAAACUUACUCUAAUACCGCAUACGACCUACGGUUGAAAGCAGGGGAUCUUCGGACCUUGCGCGAUUGAAUGAGCCGAUGUCGGAUUAGCUAGUUGGCGGGGUAAAGGCCCACCAAGGCGACGAUCCGUAGCUGGUCUGAGAGGAUGAUCAGCCACACUGGAGCUGAGACACGGUCCAGACUCCUACGGGAGGCAGCAGUGGGGAAUAGUGGACAGUGGGCGCGAGCCUGAUCCAGCCAUACCGCGUGGGUGAAGAAGGCCUUCGGGUUGUAAAGCCCUUUUGUUGGGAAAGAAAAGCAGCAGGUUAAUACCCCGCUGUUCUGACGGUACCCAAAGAAUAAGCACCGGCUAACUUCGUG